GUUUAAAAUCACACCAGCCUAGUUCAGGGCAGCUUUCCUGUUCUGUAAUUAAACUUUAGAACAGUAAGAUAUGGGCUAGGGGAGAUGAUUGGGUAAAGAGUAUUUCUUUAUUCAUUUCCCUCCCAGCCUACAAAA